AUGAAUUCCCACAGAUGGAUAGAAAAAGGAUCCCUUCUAGAAGAGGAUAAUGCCAAAGAAUCUGAGCUCUCUGAGGUCUCAUGGUGUUCACGCUGUCCCACCCUCAGGAGGCCUUUAACAGGUACCCCAAUCUUCUGCAUCUUCAAGGUGAUAUCAGGGUUUCACUCCUAUGUGAAAACCUGUGAGGGAGGAAGAUGUGGACACUUCUUGUCAGAAGAAGAGAACAGAGGAACAAUGUUGUUGUCUGUGUCCUCAGAAUCAUCCAGGAACGAGAACCAUCCUGCUACCCUUGCGACAUUACAGCUGAAUGACUGCAUUUCACUCGGACACUGGAUGAGGUUCUGUUUUCCUCACACCAGCCUGCCAUUGGCUUGCACGUGGAAAAAGAAUAUGAGACACAGAACUCCAACAUGUGGUUGGCCUAGGGUAAGUACACCGUUAAUGUGUGUUGAAUUAAAUUCAAUUGGAAUUGAGACGUUAUUACAUAAUAAAUAGGCCACAGGCCUUUGCGGGUCAUAUACUAAGUUGGGCACUGAUACAGGAGAGUGUGGCUUAUCACACGUGAUCAUCGUGUACAUGAGAACGUGCGCACGUCUGUGCAUCAUUAUGCACACAUGGCAAAAAACUGUCGCAUCUGGUGUCAUUCGGUUUUGCUGGUUUGGAUUGACCAAGAAAGCAUCAUGGGACUGCUUACUCCUGUGGAGGAGCCUCCAAUCCCGGUGGUCUGCCUGGAGGUGAACGGCAAUCCUCAGACAUGUUUACCUUUGGCAGGAGACCAGCAAGCUUCCAUUCAGGCUUCCUUCCUACUUUCAGAUCUUUCUUUAUCUUGCUCCUUACACCUCAUCCAAGGCAUCACUAUAAUUGUCCUUUGGAGUGCCAGCUGAUACUUGCAGCUUCCUGUCUCUUUGACCAAGGGAAAAAUGCUGAUUUCCUCUUUGCUAUUUGGCAAAUGUCAAAAGAAAAAGACUGGCUACACUAUGUAUUCCUUUCAGCAGCAUGAAUGAACAUCCUGUAUUUUUCCCCCAAUAAGGAGAAGAUUUAACUAGCUAAAACUUAAUUAGCCUAAGCUGAGAGACUUUAUUCCCAUUAUUUCCCUAUUUCUUCUCCUUCAUUUGUUCCUUUUUAUCUUCCAAGAAUCCCAAUCCUAUGUAGUUACAAUCCCAGGCCUUUAUAUCUUUGCAUAUCAUGUUUCUCUCCAACUUUUUUUUUCUCAGUUCUGGGAGAAUUUUCUGAAUUCUUCCACUUUACAGAUUUGGUUUUUCUGCAAUAACCUACUGUUCACUGCCUCCAUGGUAGUGUUUUUCAUUCUAUACUUGUAUUUCUCAUCUGAAUGCAAUCUUGCCUGAUUUUAUAUUGCUUUGUCUUCACCUAUGAAAUGUUUUCUCAAAACUCUUGGGGAAUACAAAAUAGAAAUGUUUUAAUGUUUUCUCCAGUUCCAUGGAGUAAGUCUCUUUAAUUGGGAAAAACCUGUUCUUAUUCCUUGGAUUAGCUCCUU
rnacentral:lncRNA from 1 species